UACAGAGGUCUCAAGCGUUGUUCGGAUUCAUUGGGCGUAAAGGGUGCGUAGGCGGCGCGGUAAGUCGGGUGUGAAAUCUUGGAGCUUAACUCCGAAACUGCAUUCGAUACUGCCGUGCUUGAGGACUGGAGAGGAGACUGGAAUUUACGGUGUAGCGGUGAAAUGCGUAGAUAUCGGGAGGAACACCUGUAGCGAAAGCGGCGCACUGGACCAUAACUGACGCUGAGGCGCGAAAGCUAGGGGAGCAAACGGG
rnacentral:rRNA from 1 species